rnacentral:rRNA from 1 species
CUACGGGGUGCAGCAGUGGGGAAUAUUGCACAAUGGAGGAAACUCUGAUGCAGCAACGCCGCGUGGAGGAUGACACUUUUCGGAGCGUAAACUCCUUUUAUAUAGGAAGAAGAUGACGGUACUAUAUGAAUAAGCGCCGGCUAACUCUGUGCCAGCAGCCGCGGUAAUACGGAGGGCGCAAGCGUUACUCGGAAUCACUGGGCGUAAAGAGCGUGUAGGCGGAUUAAAAAGUCAGAAGUGAAAUCCUAUAGCUUAACUAUAGAACUGCCUCUGAAACUCUUAAUCUAGAAUAUGGGAGAGGUAGAUGGAAUUUCUGGUGUAGGGGUAAAAUCCGUAGAGAUCAGAAGGAAUACCGAUUGCGAAGGCGAUCUACUAGAACAUUAUUGACGCUGAGACGCGAAAGCGUGGGGAGCAAACAGGAUUAGAUACCCGAGUAGUC